rnacentral:misc_RNA from 1 species
AACGCACAUUGCGCUUCCUGGUAUUCCGGGGAGCAUGCUCGUUUCAGAAUCAUUAAAAACUCACAAACCGCGGCUGCUGUUGCAUUACGGCUUGCUGCGGCUAGUGGAUUUGAGCGCCUUGCGUCACCAAUGAGGUUUUCUCGGCGUCGCAACCGCUUUAAAAUGAUAGUGUGAGUUCCUUCCAGACAAUGCUGGGGAUCAAAAAGUGCAACAGACUUGUCUAUCACUUUUUGUGUCAACGGUAAUUUGUUUUGGUUGGCGCGAACGUUCUUACCCAACACAAAUGUCAGUCGUUUGCCUGGACUUCUGGCUUUGAAACUUGGUCUGAAAUCGAGCAAGAAAACCCGCUGAACUUAA